AUAACGGCGUCGAGCGGCGGACGGGUGAGUAAUGCCUAGGAAAUUGCCCUGAUGUGGGGGAUAACCAUUGGAAACGAUGGCUAAUACCGCAUGAUGCCUACGGGCCAAAGAGGGGGACCUUCGGGCCUCUCGCGUCAGGAUAUGCCUAGGUGGGAUUAGCUAGUUGGUGAGGUAAGGGCUCACCAAGGCGACGAUCCCUAGCUGGUCUGAGAGGAUGAUCAGCCACACUGGAACUGAGACACGGUCCAGACUCCUACGGGAGGCAGCAGUGGGGAAUAUUGCACAAUGGGCGCAAGCCUGAUGCAGCCAUGCCGCGUGUAUGAAGAAGGCCUUCGGGUUGUAAAGUACUUUCAGUCGUGAGGAAGGCGGCGUCGUUAAUAGCGGCGUUGUUUGACGUUAGCGACAGAAGAAGCACCGGCUAACUCCGUGCCAGCAGCCGCGGUAAUACGGAGGGUGCGAGC
rnacentral:rRNA from 1 species